GGACGGAAUAAAUUUUAAAUUUUUUAUCCUAUGCUAUUUUAGAUCUAAUAUCUAUUAGAUCUAAUUUUAUUAUCUGAUAUUUUAAUUUCAAAAAUUAAAUCUAAAAGUAUGAGAAAUAUAGACAUACCUUAAGGGUAAUCUAAUUACCCUGUAGAUGAUCGCAGCACUGUCUGAGGUUCUGAUGUAGCCACACAAGCGCCUGGCCUCUACCAGUAUCCACUCAGAUAGGAUAUGGAACGUCUUAUCCUCACAAUUCUAUGCUCCAAAAAUUAGAUCAAUAUCUGAUUUGGAAGUACUUCAGAAAUCUUUCUGAAGUUGGAGCAACAGCCUGUCGAAGAUGUCCUGUAGCCUUCUGUUCCAGGCAUCACCACGCC
rnacentral:lncRNA from 1 species